rnacentral:rRNA from 1 species
AGAGUUUGAUCCUGGCUCAGAACGAACGUUGGCGGCGUGGUUUAGGCAUGCAAGUCGAACGAGAAAGCUUCCUUCGGGAAGUGAGUAAAGUGGCGAACGGGAGAGUAACGCGUGGGAAACCUGCCCUUCAGCGGGGGACAACACUUCUAACGAGGUGCUAAUACCGCAUACGAUCCGAGCACUGCAUGGUGCUUGGAUGAAAGAUGGCCUCUGCUUGCAAGCUGUCACUGAAGGAUGGUCCCGCGUCCCAUUAGCUUGUUGGUGAGGUAACGGCUCACCAAGGCGACGAUGGGUAGCCGGCCUGAGAGGGUGUCCGGCCUCACUGGGACUGAGAUACGGCCCAGACUCCUACGGGAGGCAGCAGUCGAGAAGCUUCGGCAAUGGACGAAAGUCUGACCGAGCGACGCCGCGUGAGCGAUGAAGGCCCUAGUGGUCGUAAAGCUCUGUCAGGAGGGAAUAAAUGCCUGUGGUUAAUACCCGCAGGAGUGAAG